GGCGUCAUAGCUCAGUUGGGAGAGCAGCAGACUGAAGACGUUUCAGUCCAUCUGAAGGUCCCGUGUUCAAGCCACGGUGAUGCCA